rnacentral:rRNA from 1 species
ACGGCUCAGUAACACGUGGAUAACCUGCCCUUGGGUCCGGCAUAACCCCGGGAAACUGGGGAUAAUUCCGGAUAACGCAUAUAUGCUGGAAUGCUUUAUGCGUAAAAUGGAUUCGUCUGCCCAAGGAUGGGUCUGCGGCCUAUCAGGUAGUAGUGGGUGUAAUGUACCUACUAGCCAACAACGGGUACGGGUUGUGAGAGCAAGAGCCCGGAGAUGGAUUCUGAGACAUGAAUCCAGGCCCUACGGGGCGCAGCAGGCGCGAAAACUUUACAAUGCGGGAAACCGUGAUAAGGGGACACCGAGUGCCAGCAUCAUAUGCUGGCUGUCCAGGUGUGUAAAAUACACCUGUUAGCAAGGGCCGGGCAAGACCGGUGCCAGCCGCCGCGGUAACACCGGCGGCCCGAGUGGUGAUCGUGAUUAUUGGGUCUAAAGGGUCCGUAGCCGGUUUGGUCAGUCCUCCGGGAAAUCUGACGGCUCAACCGUUAGGCUUUCGGGGGAUACUGCCAGGCUUGGAACCGGGAGAGGUAAGAGGUACUACAGGGGUAGGAGUGAAAUCUUGUAAUCCCUGUGAGACCACCUGUGGCGAAGGCGUCUUACCAGAACGGGUUCGACGGUGAGGGACGAAAGCUGGGGGCACGAACCGGAUUAGAUACCCGGGUAGUCCCAGCCGUAAACGAUGCUCGCUAGGUGUCAGGCAUGGCGCGACCGUGUCUGGUGCCGCAGGGAAGCCGUGAAGCGAGCCACCUGGGAAGUACGGCCGCAAGGCUGAAACUUAAAGGAAUUGGCGGGGGAGCAC